UAAUUAUUUAUUAUAGAUGAUAUAGAACGAUCAUCUUGACAACCGUUUUGUAUUAUAUUAAUUAAUUUUUAUUUUUAAUUAGGAGAAAAUUAUAUACGUACAUACACAAUAAUAAUUUACCCAUGUUUUCAAAAAAAAAAAAUUCCGAAAUUUCCGUCAAAAUUAUUUUACCCAAAAUACUAAAAGGGAAAAUUGAAGCGCUUAUCACUUUCACUUUCAUCAAAAAGUGAAACCUCUUUCUCAUUCAUCAGUAAAAAAAAAAAAAGAAGUGAAACCUUCAUCAAACCUCCAUAGCAAAUCCUUCAUCAGCCGCUUACUCCACCGCCGCUCCACGUCUGCAAUACCGCACCUGUUUGCUGAGCCACCAGUAAAUCUAGUAGACAACUCUUAGACAGUUAAACAAUAGAACAAUAUAAAUGGCAGAAGGGGUGAUAGAAGAAGUUCUAAAGUUCCACUGAAGGCAAAAUUUGAUCCAUUUUUGCUGAAAGUUGGCUUGACAAACUUCAGUCCCACAAGUGGAGGAAGCAAUGUUUUUGUAUUUUAAGCAAGUUCUUCCUACAUAUUCUCAACAAAUGAUCGACGAGCUUAAGAAAAGGUGGAUUUCGUAUGUUACCGGAUACCAUCAACAAAAUGACGAAAACGACGGCAAUUUAUGUGAAUUGUAGAUCAAUAUGGUAUUGGUAUAUCUAAGCAUAAUUUUUUUUAAUCAACAUUAACUAGAAAGGUGUUUUGAUAUUUAACUCACGUAUUUGUUUGUAUAGUACAAAUUUUGUAUGAAUGAUUCAAUUUAAUUGUGGUUCGAUGUUUUAAAUUAUAUAUAUAAAGUAUAUUCUGAUGGC